UUGGCGGACCGGAGAAGGAGCGAAAAUGGCGGAGUGAGGCGUGCCCCGGGCAGCUGGCCUGCGGGCCCGGGGCAGGCCUCCGGCCAGAAGCGGAGUACUUGUGCUGGACCGCGUGAGGAACCUUAUCACACAAGAUGAAUAUUUUCCUGGCCUUAAGGUGCUUUUAUAUUUAGCUCCACAUUCUGAACUCAGGACUUGGCAUGAAUUCUGUGUGGACUGCUCAGUGAGGUGUCCUGGUUCUUCCAUCCCAUUACUUUCCCCAGUGAGAUGCGGAUGUCUUCGACAGAUUUACCUCCAUGGUUUAGGAUGCAAAGACUGCUUUUCUCUUACUUCACCAUCAGAUACUACACAGAAAACCCCUGAGGAUGCAGAUGUCUGUCGACUUCAGGAAGAAAAUAAACAACUGACUUGGGUCUUCUACAGUUUUUUAAUUAGAAAGACACCAUUUGCAAGUAGAAGGAAGAUUCUGAAUUGAAACAAGUGCUUAGGUUGUGUGGCGUGAAUUGUUUUCUUUUUAAAAGAUCCAGACAAGAAGAUUAAACAAAUACCAAAUGUGGGUGACUUCAAGUUUUUUAUAAAUGUCUUCCAUUUUUUAACACUAUUAUAAGCACAGUUGAGACUGCAGUAAAUCCCAAAUAUUUAAUAUAAUUUGAGAAGAAAGAAAUGUUAUCUAAAUUCUGGCUCACACGUUGAUAGAUUUUUCUGGACAAAAACAAGAUAUGAUAAAAGCAGAAACCAGGUUUGGUUUCAUUUGGGGAUGAAACCAUUACAGUCUUAUGUGUAUAAAUCCACAUUUUUAAACAAGAUUUUCUCUUGGAGAAGAAACCUGUUGUUUAUAAGAAGGCUUUGGACAGUUUGAUAGUCUUAAAUGUGUGUGUUUUGUCUGUUCUGCUUUGCUGUUUUAGUCCUUCUCAGGAAGGCCCAGCUGGGCCUCUGGCUAGUUCGGAGUGGGAGGAAACACAGGCUGGUCAGUGUUCUCCCGGCACUGGCAGCAUGUGGGAGGCUGAGGCAGGAAGAGCAGAUGUUCGGGACCAGUUUGGACGUCAUGAUGAGACUCAAACCCAAAAGGACAACAAACCCAACAGGACAAAAACCGAGCCCAGUAACACCCUCUUUUAUAUUCCUUUUGUGGAAUGUGAGACUUUGGGUUUCCAUGUGGCUGGAAGGCAACUGGCACAUGUGGUCUUGCAGUUAAGGUGAUGUGGUGGUCUCUGUUGUGUAACUUGCCUUCACCUUUGGACAUACAGGAAUGAAGGUUUGGCAUAUAAAUCCUUUCUUCUAAGAAAAAGAAGCAAAGCUGUCUAAUGUAGCAUUGUCUGACUUUUCAACAUUUUUACAUUAUGUAGUUGCAUUUUUAUAAAAAGUAUAAAUAACUCCCUUCAACCUAAGAUGGGAACUUGGACAGGUUUUUUUUUUUUUUUCCUAGGUGAUAAUGUAAUGUUAUGCUGAAAUUCUGGGACUCAGGUAAAUUUUCCCAGUUUGAAUUGAGCUGUCUUACUAGAGAUGGGCCUCAGAAGGAAUGUUCCCAGCCCUGUGGUUGCUUCAGUAUGAUCUCAGAAGAAAUUUAGAGUCUGAACCAAACUUUGAAUAAGAAAAGCAGAUCUAUCUGAUAGGAAAUGUGGAUCUAGUUGCUAAUCACUGUAGAUUUAAAGGAAAUUCAGGGCCUGGGGCGGGGUGGGGGAGUCGGGGGGUGGGGUGGUGGGCCUGAAGAAAAUUCCAAUAAGAGGUGAUACAUGCUCUUUUCUUCCUUUAAUAGUUAUGUUAUAAGAAACUAUGGUGGAAAUAUCUCUUUGCUUCCCAAUCAAAGGAAGUCUGUUAUAUGGGAUGCCAGGCUUUUACAUGAGAGGGCACCAUUGUUUGCAGCGACAGCCAGUAGGAGAAGGAGUUUUAAGCUUGUUAGAUGAGUUAGAAAUAGAUGCUGUCAGAGCUGAUUUCUGGAUGGUUUCUCAGUGCUGCAGGUGCUGUGAAUUUGAGUCAUAAAAUGAUCAAAAUUAGGAAAAGUUGGACAUUCAUGAUUAGUCAGAUUGGGCAGCAAACUUGGAUUUAUGCUAAAAGAUUUUUUUAUGAGUAUUUAUUAUAAAUAACCUAUUAAUGAGAGUAAAUAAUGAUAAAAUACUAGAGAAAUAACAAGUUAAAGGUACCCUAAAUCGCUGGGCUUGGCUGCUCACACCUGUAACCACAGCAUUUUGAAGAUUGAGGCAGGAGGAUUGGCCACAAAGAUCAAGGUCAAGCCUGAAUGACAGACCUGGUCUCAAAAUGAAACAAAAAUAUAACCAACAGUUUUCAAGUGCUCCAGCCACUUAUAUUUUUAUUUAGAAGACAAAGCCAGCUGGUGACUGAGAGCUUCUCUUAGAUGCUGAGCUGUCCUGCACCUUGCUUUUGGACAGGGGCUGUCAAGACCAGGGAAGUGUCACUCACUUGCUCCAGAUGCUUCAGGUGAGUGCACUUUGCCAAAGCCACUCCUGCAUCUUGCAUUGUUAAUACCAAAUGGUGUUCACAGCAUGGGUGGAUCUCAGCUCUAGUUGCCUGAUGUGUGGCACAUUUCCAUUUCUAGUCUUAUUUGGGUUUUCUUAAUAGCAAAAACUACCAUUUUAGAUUUGUGCCUCCAUCUAUAGCCGUGCCUCCUCCCUUCUCCAUGUAAGCUGGCAGUUUUUCUUUUGAAGUUUCUAAACAAAAAUGGGAUAUGUGCAAUAUAAAUAUAUAUAUAAUGUAUAUUUUAAUACUUGUGGACAAGUGUUACAAGUUGUUUAAGAACAACAAAAUCACCAAUGUCUUCCAUUUUGAGAUGUGUAUAGUUUUGUAAGCAGUAGUGCUUGAUAGCAUAUUGUAGUGCCAUGUUAGGGGUUAGUGCAUGAAUUUAGUAUAAUUGUAAACUUCAAGAUGAAAUAUUGAUAAUAACUAGUAGUGUAAAAAGUGUGGAAAAUCCUAGACCUUUACUUUUUUGUGUAUGAAUCUAUGAUAGUCUCCCUGGGGAUACGAGAUAAAGGCCAAAACAACUAAUGUCUAAACAGAAAUGUGGGUUCACACUGAGAAACAUUGUGCUUGCGAGAAUGUUAAGCCUCUCACAAGGGAGCUAGAAAUAGCUGUCUUUGUAGCUCUUCAGUCCUCAAGGCCAGGCCUGGGUUCAUGCUUGUCUUGCUCUCUUAGUGUGAAGCUAGCUUGUUCUUGUAUUGGUCUUGCAUUGUAUGUCUUGGGUUCAUUUUUCCUAUUUUCUGUUUUGCAUGUCUGAGAUGCUGUGCUGGUUACUUUGGAAUGUUUACUCUGGCCAUUUCCUUUCCUGUUUGCAGCAUGUGUGCUAAUUGCAGAGCCUUGUCAGCAGUUUGGAGUAUCCUGUACUUUAGGCUUUGCCCACAUCUGACUUGGGUGUUGAGUCCAGUCUUUCUCAUGAGAUCUGAUAGCUCAGUGGGGCCCAUGGAGGUUGACAAGAAGUUAUGUUGGCCUCUCCUUUGGUAAUUGUUGACAGCUUUCACUUUUUUCUACUUUCCAUAUGGGAAUAAAGUAGUUGCUUUGUUCUGAAAAAUAAUGUUUUCUGUAAAAUGGAAUUCCUACCUCUAAAAGCUGCCUAGGAAACUUGGAAGGAACCAUUUUCUGGAGAGUUGUGGAGCUUUUUGUUGUUGUUGUUCCCUUUUUUUUUUUUUUUUUUUUUAAUAAUUUUUUAGAAAUAGAGUCCUGCCAGGUGUGGUGGUAGAUGCCUGUAAAUUCCCAGCAUUUGGGAAGUUGAGGCAGGAAGAUCAGCUACAUAGUGAGUUGGAGGUCAGCCUGGGAUACAUGAGACCCUGUCUCAGAAAACCAAAAGAAAAAAAGAGAAAGAAAAGCGUAUGUAGGAUUUAUUAACAUAUAUUACAUUAGUAUUAUAGGAAAUGUAAAACUUCCCCAUAGAAACUAGGUAUGAGUCUAGUAUUAGAUAUUCAGAGUCCCAGGAAUACUCUCAUAGAGUAGUAAGUAUACUCUUCACUCAAGUAGGUGGUUAGCACCUGGGAGAAUCUGCUUCUGAAAAGCAUUUAAGAAACAAAGGGGAAUGAAACUUGAAAAAUAAUGCAUACAAAGUAGCACAGCAUAUAGGAAAGGACAUUUCCUGUUGCAAAUAACAAAAGCCAUAAAUGAACUAAUAAUAAUGUUAAAGAUGUGGGAUUCUGAAGCAAUAAUAGUUCCGAAUGUAUGGUAAAUUGUGCUCACAAAGCUGUGAGGUUGAGUGGUUACUGGUUCAGUUUGUGGGGCCCUGUAGUUUUAUAGAGUUCCACAAAAGGAAAAACACAUCCUAGUUAAAAGGCAUUUAAACUAUGAAUGUAUAUGAAUAUGUCUUCGUGAAAAAAAAUACCAACUUUUAUAUAUGUGUUAAAGAUCCUAUUUUGUUUCCCCAGAGUUUACAGCUGUUGAAAUCUUUUUAGUGCUUAAUCUGGAAUCGCAGUGAAGCCAACAUAUAGGGGUCUUGCUUAAAUUGUUUGUAUUAAUAGUCAUUUACUAUAUAGAAUGACCUAUGCUUUAUUCAAGUAAUAUAACCUUUGUUCAUUGGGUUCCUGACUACUGUUUCAAAAGGAAAGGUUGUGGGUGAUUGGUGUUUCUAGGGGAUGGGGGGAGCCUCAAGAACUUACUGGUUUUUGCUUGAACUUAGGCUCAAGGAAGUUAGGAUUAAAAGUUGAACCAAAUGACUGGCAGUGCCCGGGCAGGGGGUUAUCUGAACUUCUGAUAGGUGUAUGUGAUAAGCUUGAGGCCAAUGUGCAUCUCCUUUCUACAAGGAGAACCUGGCAGACUCAUUCCUUCCUUAUUUGAGAUGUAAAAUGGAACUAGGGCCACUCCUCAUUUCCUUUACCUCACAUGAUUGUGGCCACUUAGCACCUUCGACAUCCCUGAAAAGAUCUGGGUCUGUGUUCCUUUGUUUCCCAGGGAAGAAAAGUCAAAAAUUAGUUUUGUAGAUCUAUGGUUCUUAUUUUCUUAUAAGCCUAAGGGCAGGGAAAAGGUCUUGUUGAGAGUAGUUUCUCUUUAGAUGUCCUGUGCUGUCCAGGUUAACUUUCAGGACAACCAAGCAAUAUUCAGAACAACUGCAUGAUCAUAAAGACAUGGCUAAUUCAGUUACAUCAGAGAUUACCCUUAACAGCCAAGUUUAUGGUUCUAAAUGCAAAAAUAUGCUACAAUAUAUGUGAUUAAUUAGUACUCAGUCUUUCUGUAGUCUCUUGUUUACUCUAUGUACCUGUGAUGUGCAAAAUAUGAAAAAGACCCCUAGCCUUCAGGUUUACCUUCUCAUGGUGCUGUAGGUGCACGCAUACUGUCUCUAGUUUAUUCAGAACAUUACUUGGCUACUAAUUAAACCAUUUUGGAAGAACCCCUUGGCCAAGAGUUUUAAAAUGCAGAGGGCUAUGUUGAAUUUCAGGGCAUUACUGCUUGUGUUUACACUGUGUUAGUCUGCUCCUCAACUUUCCCCAGGGAGCUGCUCAUUAAUACGGAUCAGAAAAGAAACCAUUCUGCCCAAGUACCCUCGCCCCCCUCCAGCUCUCAGUAAGUGGCCAAGAAAACUUGUUCCAUAAAGACUAUCACCUCAGUUCCUUUUUCCCAGGGCUUUACACAUUCUUUACCUUCCAAGGGCCAGGAUUUCUAGCUAAGCCUUUUAGAACCAAACAGAAGUCUUAAAUUUAGCUUUUUUGUAUGACUUGUUUUGAAGCAGCAUUAUAGUAGAUAAUGGAGUACCUGACUGCAUCUCUGAGGAAUUUGAUUGACAUAUGCAGUUGAAGUUUUGCAUGUAUCAUUGCUUUUUCCCAGGAUUCUGAAUCAAAGAGUUUGCAUGUUUAUUAAAACCAGGCCUGAUUGGAAGUGUAACCAACAGUGGCAGGCCCAUAACUGAUUCUAGAAUGCUAACAUUCUAAUGCAUGGUUGAAAAUUUUUCAUUGUUAGGUAGUUAUUAGUAAUUUUAUAUAUGCAUAUAUCAAUAAUGAAGCAAUAGAUACUUAAACCAAUAGCUUGGUUUUAUUGUUUGAAUUAUUUUUAUUUUCUAAUUAAAGAUUGUCUUACUUCCGUUGAAAAUUGGAAGUAUAAGAUAAACAAGGGGCAACCAUAAGACAUUCAAACUGUUAGGGAUACAGCAGGCAGUGCUCACUCUGUUUCCUAGCUCUAUUUAUUUCCAAGCAUGUUUGCAAAUAAAAGAUAAACUAAGCAUGUUGAAUAAGCUGCUAUAAUCAGGAUGGUGCAGGGUUUCAGAAGAGCAGGGAAAUAGGCCAAGUAUAGUCAUCUUCCUUCAGUGUUCAGUGCAAAAUAACAAGCUGUGGCACUUGUCUGGUUAGGCUCAUGUAGACUAAGCUUGAGGUUUCUUAAAACUAUAGAUUGAGCCAGAUUCAUGGUCUCCAGUCUGAGCAGGCAGGAACUAGCCUGAGUGCCACAGCCAGGCUCCAGUGUCAGUGUGCACAUACUGUAGUUCUGGGAUGAAUGAGGCAUCUGUUUUGGAAGGUGCUGACUGACCAUCUGCAAGGACCCUGCAGCAAGAAGGUUUAUGUAGAGCUACAGAAGUUCGGCCUCUCAGAUUGUACUUGUGGCUGUAUUUACAACUGUAGAGCUGUAGUUUUAUUUCAGAUGAGUUGGUCAAAAUGUGUAACUUGCCUGAAACUUGAUUCCUGAUGAACAGGAAAAAAUCUUCCAAGAAAGACAUUUAUUUGGAUGAAUGAAUAUUGUUUUGUUACAAUAGUGAAAGGAACAGAAGUGUAAUUUACUGGCUGAACAUUUACCUGAGAAAAUGGGUUUAAUUGUCACCACUACGGAAAAAAACCCUCAUGGUGGUAGCAUAAAAAUUUCUUGACUUUGAAAUGCAAGUUAUAAAUGGUUUUGACAAACGAGAAGUAUUUAUAAUGUCCGAAAGACCUACAUAGAUUUCAAAUAAAACCGUUUCACUGGGUUCAGUCCAAUUUACAUGUUAUAUGAUGGAAAAAUAGUUUCAAAUUUAACUUUAGCUGUGGUACUUUGCUAUGGAUGCUGACUGGAAUGGUGACUUCCAACCUUCAGAACUGAAAACUGUCAGUGUGACGUUUGCUUUCCACUAAAACACAGGAAUUGAGAUAUAUGAUGUAUCCCAAAUAGAAGUGUUCUUUGUCACUUACUGAUAUAUCUGCCAGCCAAUAAAGAUGUACGGUCAGAGUUCUUCCUUCUAGCAUUUUCUUCCUAUAGUCACUAAAGUCAAAACAUCAGGCAGCAAGAUUCGAUGUGUAUUUGGUAGACUCAGGCUUAUAAGAUACCUUUAAAGGCAGAAUACAGUUAUGAUUACUGGUGAUUUUCUAAACAUUUUGACAUCUUUGGGAAUGGUAUGUUGUAUCCUUAAUUUAAAUGUUCUUUUGUGCUUGGGACACAAAGUUCUCUUGGAGAACACUUGGACUAGCCCUCAGCACUGACACCCUAUUCCAAGGAUCAGACAAGUAUUUUGUCAGUGUGUUAUCAGUCUAUAAACAACAUUACUAGUCUGAGCAUUAAUCUUAAACCUUCAUCCUUUUAAUGAAAAAGAUUAAGAGUAGCAAUCUACUUGAGAGUGGUGCAUUUUCUGCCCUUCAGGCAUAGGUGUCUAUGUUCGCUUGCCUUUCCUUGUACCUUCUAUUGCACCACCAGUGUCUGAGGUGAUGUUAGAGAGCUUUGUUGAACGUUUGGAGCACUACAAAAGGCAGCUCCUUAAUCUAUGCAUCUUUGGGGGUUUUGAAGAAAUUUGACUUCUUGGAAAAGGAACUGUCGAGAGUCUGAAACUGCACCUGUAUGUAUAUAUUUUUAGCAAUAAAGCAUGAUCAGAGAAUGCACUGAAA